rnacentral:siRNA from 1 species
UGAGACACUUACGACAUGGGCAGA